rnacentral:tRNA from 1 species
GGGGUGAUCGUCUAGCUUGGUCUAGGAUACGUCCUUGGGGUGGACGCGACCCGAGUUCAAAUCUCGGUCACCCCA